CAUCACUACGCUAGAUGCAUAUCAAUAAGCGGAGGAAAAGAAACUAACAAGGAUUCCCCUAGUAACGGCGAGUGAAGCGGGAAGAGCUCAAAUUUGAAAUCUUAAAGGGUUUCCCUUUACGAAUUGUAGUUUAAAGAAGUGUUUUCUGUUGGAGUUUCGGUAAAAGUUCUUUGGAAUAGGACAUCAUAGAGGGUGAGAAUCCCGUAUUUGGUCAUUCUUUCUAGCUUUGUGAUACACUUUCAACGAGUCGGAUUGUUUGGGAAUGCAGUCCAAAAUGGGUGGUAAAUUUCAUCUAAAGCUAAAUAUUGGCGAGAGACCGAUAGCGAACAAGUACCGUGAGGGAAAGAUGAAAAGAACUUUGAAAAGAGAGUUAAACAGUACGUGAAAUUGUCAAAAGGGAAGCGUUUGACACCAGUGUUGUUUUCUCGAAAAUCAAUUCAAUAAUUUUUGAUUUUGAGUAGUAUUGACUUCAUCAGCUUGCUGCUUUCUUUUCGGAAAUUAUUGAAUGCACUUUUCAGUUAACAAGUCAACAUCAAUUUCUUUUGUUGUAAAGGGUAAGAGGAAGGUGGCUUACGCUUCGGCGUAAGUGUUUAUAGCCUUUUACCUCUGCAAUCGGAGAGAUUGAGGACAGCAGCGUAGAUCCUUCGGGGUUAGAUACACUUUGUGCUAAGUUAUAGCUUUGUCAUAGACAACUUGUUGACUAUGCUUAAGUCAUUGUAGCUUACUCGCUUAUGCUAUUUUACCUACGCUUAGGAUGUUGACGAGACUGUCGAUCUC
rnacentral:rRNA from 1 species